UUAAUUAAAACCAAAAAAGAGGUAUAUCAUUGUUAAUGAUAAAAUUGAUAAUUAUCUAAUUAAA
rnacentral:tRNA from 1 species